rnacentral:snRNA from 1 species
GUGCUCACUUUGGCAAUAUAUACUAAAAUUGGAACGAUACAGAGAAGAUUAGCAUGGCCUCUGAGCAAGGAUGACAUGCAAAUUCAUAAAGUACUUCAUAUAAAA